rnacentral:rRNA from 1 species
AUAGAGACUCAGAGCUGCAUAUCAAUAAGCGGAGGAAAAGAAACUAACUAGGAUUCCCUUAGUAACGGCGAGUGAAGCGGGAAGAGCUCAAAUUUGAAAUCUUCAAGGUUUUACCUUGACGAAUUGUAGUUUAAAGAAGUGUUUUCUGUUAGAUUUGAGUAGCAAAGUUCCUUGGAAUAGGGACAUCAUAGAGGGUGAGAAUCCCGUAUUUGGAUCAUUACUUCCUAGCUUUGUGAUACACUUUCAAAGAGUCGGAUUGUUUGGGAAUGCAGUCCAAAAUGGGUGGUAAAUUUCAUCUAAAGCUAAAUAUUGGCGAGAGACCGAUAGCGUAACAAGUACCGUGAGGGAAAGAUGAAAAGAACUUUGAAAAGAGAGUUAAACAGUACGUGAAAUUGUCAAAAGGGAAGCGUUUGACACCAGUGUUGUUUUUCCGAAAAUCAAUUACGAAUGGCUUGAUUUUGUGUUGUAUUGACCUUAUCAGCUUUCUGCACUUUUUUCGAGUCUUUCUUAAUGCACUUUUCGGUUAACAAGUCAACAUCAAUUUCUUUUGUUGUAAAAGAGUAUUCGGAAGGUGGCUUUCUUUUCGGAGAAAGUGUUUAUAGCCCUAUACUUCUACAAUCGGAGAGAUUGAGGUCUGCAGCGUAGAUCCUUCGGGGUUAGAUACACUUGUGCUAAGUUAGUAGCUUUUCAUAGACAACUUGUUGACUAUGUUUAGUCAUUGUAGGCUUACUCGCUAGACUGCUAUUUUACCUACGCUUAGGAUGUUGACGAUCAGCUGAGCGCG